rnacentral:rRNA from 1 species
GUCGAGAAUCUUUCACAAUGGGGGCAACCCUGAUGGAGCGACGCCGCGUGGAGGAUAAGGUCUUCGGAUUGUAAACUCCUGUCAUGCGUGAACAAGGUUGCUUGGUUAAUACCUGGGCAAAUUGAUGGUAACGCAAGAGGAAGAGACGGCUAACUCUGUGCCAGCAGCCGCGGUAAUACAGAGGUCUCAAGCGUUGUUCGGAAUCACUGGGCGUAAAGGGUGCGUAGGUGGCGUGGUAAGUCAGAUGUGAAAGCCCGGGGCUCAACCACGGAACUGCAUCCGAUACUGCCAUGCUAGAGUACUGGAGAGGUGACUAGAAUUCUCGGUGUAGCGGUGAAAUGCGUAGAUAUCGAGAGGAAUACCAAAGGCGUAGGCAGGUCACUGGACAGUUACUGACACUGAGGCACGAAGGCCAGGGGAGCGAACGGGAUUAGAAACCCCUGUAGUCC